GACACUUGGAGGGUCUGAGAGAACAAUGUAUGAGAGGAAAUGGUACCUUGGAGCACAGAGCUUUAUGCUAAUGGUACUAUUGUGGUUCAGGGGGUAUCAGAUGUGGGAUACUGAAUCUGCUACCUUGUCAGGAGUUUGUGCUCUUUGUCACCAAUUUAUGCUCUACUUGGAAAUGAAAGGAAAUACUUUAAGUCUAUAACCUCCAGUGCAUCCUCCUCUAAAGAAAACCAACCCUGAGUAGUGCCCAUCACAGCACAUAGAACUCAUCACAGCGCAUAGAAGUGUGCAGCACACACCUGCACACCUUCUUUUCUUCAACAGGUGCAGGAAAAUCAAACUUUGGGCCACUUGACCAUUGGCAUUGUAACUCAGUCUGUCCAGAGGACUGGAGGUAGAUUACUCCUUGAAAAUUAGAAACCGACGUUGACAGAACUUGUCCAUCUCUAACUUAGUGCCCCAUCGAUUGCAGCAUCGGUGCUAUUUUACGAUAUUUCGCACUCUCCCUUCACGAAAAGAAAUACAGCGCUUCUGCAUGGCAGAUGAAUGAGAAAUAUAAUUCUCCACUUCCUUCUUCCCUUUAACUGUGAUACUCACGAGACCUUUUUUAUUGGCGUGAUGAAGUUGUCACUGGUUGGCCCUGCAGCAUCUUGUUCUACCAGGUUUGUUUACGGAAGCUGUGCCAGUAGAUGUCACUCUAGAACAGGCAUCCUUUGGUGCUCAGUCGAGCACCACUAAAGCAAAUUGUGCAUCCAGCCGGUGUUUCUUCACAUGCACAGUAAACACCUUUCUUAGGCAAUAUGCCGCCACUGUUGUUCUUCCACCACCACUCAGUUGAACAGCAAAUCAUAACCAACCAAAUUCAAGCCUACUUAUGUGUGUUGCACAUAACCUGGAUAAGGAAUGCAGUGAGAGAAAGGGAUGCUGCAAAACGUAAUAAUUAUUGUGACCCAAUCAUCUACCUGUCAGCUUAAAGGUAAAUCCAGAUUCUAGUGGGGGAUGAUUAAUAUUAGCUUGGUCACUUCUGGUUUCCUUUUCACGGAAGAACGAGGCCGUUUAAUUCUCUUUAAGAAGACUGUGUCAUUUGUAUUUUAUUUUAUUUGUGUGUUGUGGUCAGGCACUUUGGUAGGGGAAAGCAGCAGUGACUAUAUCGUUCGCUGCGGCUACUAUUGGAACAGCUGCAACACCUAUUAACGGGACAAAUGAGCUGCUAAGGAUGGCCAACCGCACAGUGUAAUUUAAAAGCGCUUCAUUUCAGAGAAGCCUUAAUUAUUAGUCUGAUGCAUACCCAGUGCUUGGAAUAAACUAGUUCGGUUUAACAAAGUUCACUGAAGCGGUUCAAAAGCUUCUAACCUGCACCUGAAAGGAGCUUCCAUAAUUGCCGAGUGAACAGAACAUGAAUUGAGUUUGCAUUGGGUAGAACUUGGAACCAUUUCUCGUUCCUCUUCGAGUUCAUUCUGUUAUGUAUGUUUAUUAUUUUUUAGAUACUUUGGGUCUCUCCCCCCCCCUUAAAGAUCAUACUUGUUGGAGUAAAUAAAUUGAACAAUUCACAUUCCACUGGGUGAGGGGGUGUUGACUCGGGGCCGUGAGUUUGAGCCCCACGUUGGGUGAAAGAUUGCUGCAUUCCGGGGAGUGCAUUCCAGGACCCUCGUGGUCCCUCCUAACUCUACAAUUCUAUGGUUCUAAGCAGUGCUUUUAUAUGCCUGUUGUCUUCGUCCAUGGAGUUUUCUUGGCAGGGAUACUGGAGUGGCUUGCCGGUUCCUCCUCCAGGUGGAUCACGUUUGGUCAAAACUCUCCACUAUGACCUGUUCAUCUUGGGUGCCCUGCAUGGCAUAGUUCAUAGCUUCUCUGAGUUAUUCAAGCCCCUUCGCCAUGGCAAGGCAGUGAUCCAUGAAGGGGUACUGGUUUUCCCAGUAGUGAUGUAUGGAAGUGAGAACUGGACCAUAAAGAAGGCUGAUCGCCGAAGAAUUGAUGCUUUUGAAUUAUGGUGCUGGAGGAGACUCUUGAGAGUCCCAUGGACUGCAAGAAGAUCAAACCUAUCCAUUCUAAAGGAAAUCAGCCCCGAGUGCUCACUGGAAGGACAGAUCGUGAAGCUGAGGCCCCAAUACUUUGGACUUCCGGGGUGGCGCCAUCGGCAAUGGCGGAUUCCCUCUGAACUGGAGGUACCAGCUCCACGGGAAACGGGUCUUUACCGCUACGGCGAAGUGGGGACCCACUCAAAAAUCACAGGCGGAUGAAGCCUGUGACCAUGGGACUCGGCGGGCACCCUUAGCGCCCCCCCAACUCGCUAAGGAACCCACUAACGGGCUCCGAAGUGAAGAGGGGGAAGUGGCGCAGUGCUGUGAGUCAACUGCUAUUUCCGUGGAGCGAAGCCGCAUAGCCGUUGCCGGAGAGCGCUGCCUUUGUCCUGGGACAAUUUGGACUUUAAAAUAAGCACCCGUGAGUACUUAGACUUUGAACAACUGGACAUUAAAUAAGGACUUGCGAGAGAAAAGAAUUAGAUCUUAAAAAUCUAUUUUAAUUCGGUACGGAGCAGGAAGGUCUAAACAGGAAGUCAGCCUUCCGUUCUUUUGUAAACAGAAUAAAGCAAAGACAACGUAAACUAGAGCUCAGAAAAUCGCCUUUAAAGGAUUGGAUUUCAUCAUUUAAAAUUGUGGAACCCCCCUUCGACAGCAGGAGAAGGGGGGGGGUCUUUUUCGGACUGUUUAAAGUGAGUUUAAAGUAAAGUAGCUUUCCUCCGUCCUGAUCCUGGAGAGGGGUGUCAGGACUGACGUUUGAAGUUCAUUGACCAGAGACAAGCGUUUUUGACAGAUAGCUAAAAGAAGAGAAACAUAGUGAUUCCACUGUUUCCCUUCGCAUUUUAAAGGAACAAAUAUUGACAAAGUAUCUCAAAAAGGGAAACUUUGUUGCAAGAACAAAUAGAAGUUUUCCCCCUAGAGGGAGACUGUGAAACUGUAACCAACUCCAGGGAACCGGCAGCUGUUACAGAUUACAAUCGUGGGAACAGGCAUUUGACCUUGCAGGACAAUGUACUCAGAAGCUUUGUUGUGUGCUUUCUAUAAAACAAAUGCCCUACUGGAACAGUUACAUGAGAAGGUGAAUUGGAUGGCGACUUCGACUAGAAAUUUUGAACAGGCAGUGGGAAAUUUUGAACAGACAGUGAGAAAAUAUGUGGAGCCCACUCAGGAAUUAAAUCAGGAGUGUGUCCUGACAGAACAGGCCCAACAGGAAUAUGAAUUUUCGGAUUUGACAAAUGAACUUGGAAAAAGCCAGAUUUGGAAAGAAAAAGUUUGGUUUGGCUUGGAAAUGGGGGGCUGGAUUGACCCCCCUAUGCUGGGAUGUUUGGACUUUUCAAAUCUGGCAAUGGGCCGUGAGAUGUUUGGGAUUGUUGGGGCUCUUAAUUUUGGAGGGCCUUUGAAACAUGCUUUUAAAUAUCAUAUGGAAUUCAGUGUUGAAUAUGGAAAAGGAGCUGAUCUGUCGAGAAGGGCUAAAAACAUUGCCAAGCUGGAGUUACCACGAGCAGGAGACAAGGGAAAAUACAGUUACAAAUAUGAAGAAGAGCUGUGGAAGGGACAUGGAAGAGACUUGAGGGCCUCGGAUAUAAGGUUGCCAGGUUAAUGGGCUAGAUCGAUGGGAUAAUAAGGACUGACAAAACCCGGAACCAGGAGGAAGGGACGUUGGAUGAAGAUUGGACCGGUUUGUAUCUCUUUUUUCUACCAUUAGAGCUGUUUUAUAAAAUUGAUGAAUGUUAGAAAAAUGUUGGAAUGAAAUUACUUGGCUUUAGUAAAGAUGUUUAAAGAAUUAUGAAAGAAUAUUAUGGUUAUGAGAAGUUGGUAAGAAUAAGAUUUAAGUUUUAAGCUUUAAGGUUUAUUUUAUUAUAGAAAGAUAAGAUUAAAACAGUUUAGGGCAAUGUAAUGACAGAAUAUUAUGAAAUAUGGAAAGGAUUUGCUGGGAUAAUUAAUAACUAGGAUACAAAGAAAGGGAGGAGGAGGAGGUCAAAGAAAGAAGGCAAUGACAGUUGAGGAUUUGAAAAUAAUGAAUUUGUUUUUAAAUGUUUUUAAUUGUUUGUGAUGUAUUUUUGUAUUUUUCUUUUUUUUGUCACUUUUUUUUGGAAUUUGUAUUCAUAUGAUUGGAAGGGGUUUGUUUUUUCCUUUUCUACUUUGUUAACUAUUUUUAUUUUGUACUUUCUUCUGCCUUUAUUUUAUUUUGUAACACUUUGAAAAUUUCAAUAAAUAUCUUAU